CGAGUGGAAAUAACUCUGAUUAUUCCCAGUGUUGUUGUAGCCCUGGCUGGGGAGCAAGAAAGAAGCAGCAGAUGAUAAAGUCACACUUUCCCACACCAUGUGGCUCUAAGCAUCCAUUCUCCGAAUGACCCCCCUCCCGUAAAGAGAGUGCCACCUGCUGGUUCACCGUCUCAGGGCUUCUCACUGUGCCUCAUGGGCAACCCUGAGGCCGGUCUCCGGUCCUGGUCUCCGGCAGGCGCUGCUAUACCAGCUGAGGCACAGGGUGCUCUGGAAACCUGGGGACCCUCCGUGAGGCGCUGCUCCGGGCCUGCGUGGCUAUGGUGCCGGCCCGGCGACAGGCAGCAGGCGCGAGGGCCAGCAGCCCUCCAGGUCUGCCUGCUCCACUUCACUCUUCAUGUCUGUAUCUC